GCACCGUUCCGCGGGAGCCCAGACGCAACUGGGCUGAGAAUCUGGCAUCACCACCCCAAGCAUCCGCGCGGGGGAGAUAUUUUUCGCGCCAGAGACCGUCAACCACCUGAUCCGGAUAAUGCCGGCGCUAGGGAGAGAGAAAAAUCUUCAU
rnacentral:ncRNA from 1 species